GCGGGUAUAGUAUAAUGGCCAUUAUGGCUGCCUUCCAAGCAGCAGAUGGGAGUUCGAUUCUCCCUGCCCGCA
rnacentral:tRNA from 3 species